rnacentral:misc_RNA from 1 species
GAGGAACCUGUUAAAGACAAUAAGGACACUGCACCAGUCAAGAAAGACAACAAGAAAAAGGGAAGCAGUAAAUGGAAUAAAAAAGACACAGCUAAAAAGACAUUCAAACCUGGAAAAUUUAAGAAGUUCAAAAACAAUGAUGGAAAGUCAAAGCAGAAAAAGAAACCAAAGUCAAAGAAUUGAAUUUUAUUCUGAAAUUAAGCAGUACAGUAAUGACUUUGGAGGAAAGGUGCAAUGUUAAUACAUGUAUAAAUGAAAGUGUAUAUUUCUGUUAUACAAACACUGCAUACAAGAUGUGUCAAUAUCCAAUAUAUUUAGAUAUAAACUUGAUACAUCUACCUUCCUCAUAAUUAAAACAAUAUUAUUUGAUUUUUUAAGUUGUUUACUUAAUGUAAUAAUGAGAUCAAUCCAUGAUUACUGUAGAAACAAAACAAAGAAAUCAAUUUUCAAAUGCCCAUUUCACCAAGUUUAUUUACAAAUAAAAGGUCUGUGAAACAAAAAAUAUUGAUUUCUGGUACAUGGAGUUCACAUUUUUUAAAGAUUUUGUAAAAAUUUGAAACAAAAAUAGUGGCAGUGAUAUCUUUAAGCAACUGACUAAAAAUAGAUCUCUGUAUAUAUAAUUAUAAAGAAUCCUAUAAUGAAUCUUUUAAUUGUUGUGAUUUAUACCCAAAAGUAUGAGCUAGCAAUUGACUGUUAACCUGAGGCAUAGCACAAUUCUAUUGUUACAAGUAAAAUAUCGAAACAAUG